rnacentral:rRNA from 1 species
AAUGAACGUUGGCGGCGUGGAUUAGGCAUGCAAGUCGCGCGAGAAACGUAGCAAUACGUGGAAAGCGGCGUAAGGGAGAGUAAUACAUAGUUAGCUACCCUCGGGACUGGGAUAGCGGCGGGAAACUGCCGGUAAUACCAGAUGACGUCUUCGGACCAAACGUGUAAACCGGCCCGAGGAGGUGACUAUGUCCUAUCGGCUAGUUGGCGGUGUAACGGACCACAAAGGCUAAGACGGGUAUGGGGCGUGAGAGCGUGCCCCCACUCACUGGGACUGAGACCCUGCCCAGACACCUACGGGUGGCUGCAGUCGAGAAUCUUCGGCAAUGGGCGCAAGCCUGACCGAGCGACGCCGCGUGCGGGAUGAAGGCCUUCGGGUUGUAAACCGCUGUCGUAGGGGAGGAAGGCUCCGUGCAGAACGGAGUUUGACCGAUCCUAGGAGGAAGGGCCGGCUAAUCUCGUGCCAGCCGCCGCCGUAACAC